GGCGACCACUGGCGGCGUGCCUAAUACAUGCAAGUUAAGCGCUGAAGAUUGGUGCUUUCACCUAUUUGAAGAGCAACGGACGUGUGAGUAACGCGUGGGGCAUCUGCCUUUGAGCGGGGGACAACAUUUGGACACGAAUGCUAAUACCGCAUAACAACUUUAACCAUAAGUUUUAAGUUUGAAAGAUGCAAUUGCAUCACUCAAAGAUGAUCCCGCGUUGUAUUAGCUAGUUGGUGAGGUAAAGGCUCACCAAGGCGAUGAUACAUAGCCGACCUGAGAGGGUGAUCCGCGCCACUUGGACUGAGACAACCCCCCAAAUCCAACGGAAGGGCGCAGUACGGAGUACUGUGCAAUGGACGAAAGUCCGACCGAGCAACGCCGCGUGAGUGAAGAGCGCUGUCGGAUCGUAUAGCCCGGUUUGUCGAGAAGAGGGUUGGAGAGAGGGUAAUGCGUAGCAAGGGACGGGAACUACUCAGAAAUGCAGGGCUAACUACGGG
rnacentral:rRNA from 1 species